rnacentral:rRNA from 1 species
GACAGAGGGUGCAAACGUUGCUCGGAAUCACUGGGCGUAAAGGGCGUGUAGGCGGGAAGGUAAGUCGGGCGUGAAAUCCCUGGGCUCAACCCAGGAACUGCACUCGAAACUACUUUUCUUGAGUGCCGGAGAGGAAAGCGGAAUUCCUGGUGUAGAGGUGAAAUGCGCAGAUAUCAGGAGGAACACCGGUGGCGAAGGCGGGUCUCUGGGCC